rnacentral:lncRNA from 1 species
AUGUGGUGUCUCAUUGUAGUUUUCAUCUGUAAUGACAGACAAUGGUAAGGAUCUUCUCAUGUUUUUUUUUUGCAUCUAUUUAUCUUCUUUGGUGUCUGUUCAAAUAUUUUUGUUCUUUUUUAUUGCCUUGUUUUCUUAUUGAAUUUUGAAGAUCUUUAUACUUUUUGAACAUAAAUCUUUUAUCAUAUACAGGAUUUACAAAUAUUUUCUCCCAAACCUGGGUUGUCUUCUUGUUUGCUUAGGCCUUUUGAUGAGCAGAAAUUUUAAACUUUGAUCAAAUCCAAGGUGAGCCAGCCCAUCAUAGGGAAAGAGGCCGGAGAAAGAAAGUUGCUCAGCCUGGCAGAGUCAGGAAGCAGGGGGGUAAGAUCUACCCUUCCAGGGCUCGCCUCCCAUUUAUCCAUUUGUUCUUUCAUAGAUUGUACUUUGGGUGACAUACCUAAGAAAUCUUUGAUAAAUCACAAAGGUUUUCAAAACUCUCAGAUUUUCUUCAGUUUUUUGGUUGCAGGCAGUACAUUUAAUUAUGGCCCAUUCAGAGUUAGGUUUUAAUUACGGAAUAAGGUAUUCCAUAAUUUCAAGUUCAUUUUUUUUCCUCUAUGAAAAUACAGUUAUUACAGCAUUACUUCUCAGAAAGACUGUUUUACAUCCACUGAAUUACCUUUGUGUGUUUAUUGAAAAUCGUUUGUCUUUAUACACAUGAAAGUUUUUCUGGACUUUCUGUUCUGUCCCAUUAUUCUGUUUGUCCAUCUUUACACCAAUAUUAUUCUGUCUUAAUUGCCAUAUGUUUUAGUUAGCUUUUUUGACAGUGUGACAAAAACACCCAACAAUAACAGCUCUAAAAAAGUUCAUUUAGGGCUCAUGGUGUCAAAGAUCUCAGUUCAUGGAUGGCCAACUUCACGGUUACUGGUAUAUAGAAAUACAAUUAAUUGAUUUUUUUUUUGGAUGUUGAUCUACUACUCUACCAUCUCACUAAGCCUUCUUAUUAGUUUUAGUAGCUUUGUAUAGAUUACCUCAGAUAUUUUUACCUUGACAGGUAUGUCAUCUAUGAGUAGACAUUCUUCAUUUAUACUCUGGAUGACUUAUUUCUUCUUGAAUAGAAUUGAGAUUUUGUGGUCCUGGAAGUAUAGAUACCUGAUUUUUAAUGCAAUUCUGCCAUAACUCAUGGGCAGCCUUUGGCAAAUUAUCCAGGGUAACUGAUUAAGGGGCAUCCAGGGUAACUGAUUAAGGAUACAUAUGUCCCUCUCUGAACCCUGAUUACCCUCGGAAGUGAUCUCCAUGUUCUCUGUACCAGUUUGCCCCUUUCCACUUCUAACAUUCAAUCAGACUAAGAAGGCACUCUGAAAGGCAUCAGUGCCCAAGCAAGCCAUGGCCUCCAGGCUCUGACUCCUACCCUCUUCCUGCUAAGCAGUUGACUCACUGAGCUCAUGACCGUUGGGCUGAGUGUCAUUUCUCCUCUCUCCUCAACCUUCCAGUAAAAUAGAGGAGUGGCUACAUUCCGUCAUUCUUCCACCAUUUGUUGUACCGCCUCCUGUGAGCAAGGCCCAGUCUGCAAAGAUGGGUGGGCAUAGGCUUGAAGCUUUUGAUUCACAACAAAACUAGCUAAAAGCCAUUUACAAAUAAAAAGCAAUUUAUUUUUUUUUCUUUGAGAUACUUUCCAUUCUCUUGCUUCCGAAUUCAGUCCUUUUCAAUAGUGUAGUGUUAUACUCCUCUUUCAUGGGCUGUGGUGGGGCAGAUUAAAAAGCUCAGGGGAAAAAAUACUAUCCUCUGGGAACUGAAGAACCCAGCAGGAGAUGGCUUAUUUGCUCUCCAUCUACAUGGAGAGGAACAGUCAGGCAAAUGACAAUGAAUUAUGUUGGAAAAGUCCAGAAUCCUUGAAAAUAGGAAAUUCAGACAACCCCAGGUGAUGGUGGAAAUGAGAAGUAGAAAGGACUUCUAUUCUUUGGAGUGAUCACCACCUGGACCUCACUUUUUCUGAGAUGGAGCUCACCUCCCAUCCAAAGGAAAGCUCAUCCAGCCUUCUUGGCAUCCAGAGCACAGGGCAGCACCUCAGCCUGCCAAUCAGAUGCCCUCACUUCAACCCUUGAACCCAAAGCUGGCGGUAUAGGAACCAUACAGGCUCCUUUUUUGGCAAGUGGUAGCAGCUAUUUCUGGUGCCCUGAAACCUUGGGAGAAUCCACUAUCAGGAAUUGUCUGGUUUCUAAAAUCCAGAAUCAUCUAUUCUGAUCCUUUUGUUUUACAAAUGCAGUGUGGAAAUAAUGAAGAACCAUCAAAUGAACACCGGCAAAGGCUAUUCACUCAGAACUUGCUUUAGAACGGGAGUCAGCCCUGCUUCACCUGCAUUUUAACAGAGAUGGUAAAGCAGGCGGAGGAGAGGGAGGGUUGUAGUGGAAAAGGGGAAGGUUUUAGGUGUGCCUUGACGGGAGGCUGUUGACAUGGGGAAGCCAUAGGUAGGCGAACUACAAGUGGGGCAUCCAGGGUAACUUUUUAAGGAUGCAUAUUUGACUUUUUCUAGUUGGUCUUACAUUGGAGGCAGAGACAAAAAUUAGGGCAGUUGUCAGUUACUAAUCAAGUCAUGACCAUUGGGGGCCAGUUGCUACAGGGACAUUACUUCCUGGGUUUAUGAAUAGAAGAGUGGUCUAACUUUCUACAAACAUGACUUAAAAGACUGUAGUGGCCUGGCUUCCUGGACUCUUUAUUGUAAAUAUUGGGCUUGUUUACUGGGCUGGUGCUGCAAAUUGUGGGUCAGAGUUCUAUUUUACAUAGAGUCUGACCACUGUCUAUGUGUAUAUUCCAUCGGGUCAGCAGAAACUGAGGCCCACAGAGGAAGAGUACAGCUAAUUGUAGCAAGUGCUGAUUGGCCCGUCUGAGGGUGACCAUGUUUCUCCUGUCAUUACCAAAGAAGCUGACGUUCUGUUUGUUGGGGGAGACAAGUUAGAUUCCCGGAGAGACAAAAUUCAACAUGGAUGUCAUAGAGAGAGGUUGCACUGGGAGGUUAAUGGCUUAUUCUGCAGCUUGGCAAGAAGGCUUGUCACUUCCCUAAUGCAGCCAGAACCAUGGGUGGUCAGGCACGUUCUCUGUACUGGGCCUGCUGUCCUUCCAGAAAAGUGCAGAGAGAAAAAGCAUGGUUCUCCAGCCUACCUACCUGCAUUCCUCUUUAACAUCCACCAUCCGUAGCUGUGUGAACUUGGAUUAGAUUCUCUACCUCCUUGUUCUUCAGUUUCCUCAGGUGUGAAAUGGAAAUAAUCCCUAUCUUAUGCUCGUGUGCAAACUAGAUGAGCAGACCUGAGCAAAACACGUAAACACUUCGGCAAAUGAACUAUUACAAUCCCAUUGAGUCCUCGAAUCAAGUCGGUGAGGUAAGUCAUAUAAUCCCCACUUUGUAGAUAAACUAAGGAUGGUGAUGUCACUUGUCCAAAAUGGUGAAGGUCAAAGUCAGAAUUUUCACUCAUGUUUCUAGGAAGAUAAAGGUCAUUAUUUUUGUCUACCAUGCUUCUGAACCCAAAAUACCAUUUGUGGGAAAGAGAACAGUGGGGUAGAAACUAUGUAGGACUGUAGGCUCAGGAGUCCCACAUUCAAGUCUUGGUUCUCUAUUAGCUAUAAAGUAUUGCACAAAUUACCUACCAUCUCUGGGUAUAUUAUCACUUUUAAACUGAUGAUAAUACUACCUGCUUCACAGGGCUGUUUUACAGAUUAAAUACCAUAAUGUAUAUGAAGUUCCGAUAUAGUGCUCAGCACAUGGGAAAUACUUAAGAAAUGACAACUAUUUUUUCUACAGUCCCCCUUGUCUUCAGGAGGUAUAUUCUGAGUACCCCAGGGGAUGACUGAAACCAAGGAUUGUAUUGAACUCUCUAUAUAGUUAUUCCUCAGUGUCUGUAAGGAAUUGGUUUCAGGCCCCCUUUCCUCCCCCCAGGAUACCAAAGCCCAAGGGUACUCAAGUCCCUUAUGUAAAUGGUGCAGUAUUUGCCCAUAACCUGUACAGAUCCUCCCAUACACUUUAAAUCAUCUUUUAGAUUACUUAUAAUACUUAAUACAAUGCAAAUAUUAUAGGAAUAUCUAAUACUGUAUUUUUAGGGAAUAACAACAAGAAAAAUGUCUGUACAUAUUCAGUACAGACACAACCUUUUUUUAAUCCACAGAUGCAGAAUCAUCAGAUUCAGAGGACUGUGUGUGUGCUAUUCUUCUCCUGUACAUAUAUUCCUAUGAUGAAGUUUAAUGUAUAAAUUAGACACCACAAUAACUAAAUGAAAUAGAAUAAUUUUAACAAUAUACUGUAAUAAAAGUUAUUUAAAUCUUAUAAAUUGUUUACUUCUGGAAUCUUCCAUGUAAUGUUUUCAGAUGAUGGUUGACAGUGGGUAACUGAAAUUGCAGAAAGUGAAGCUGAGGGUUAGGGGAGACUGUUGUAUGUGAUUGAAAGGGACUAUCAAAAACCAUUCUGCAGAGUCUGCCCCUCGAUAGCCCUGCUUCCAUGAAGUUUUCCCUAACCCCAAACUGGAUUUGACCUCUCCAUUGUUGAAUUUCCCAUUAUCAGUGCUGGGUAAGGCAAGCAGAGUAGAGACAAGGAGGAGCAGAUGGGUCCUGCCAGUGGAGGAAUAGACAGGCAAAGAGGUGAUCGGUCAAUGGCAACAUGGUAACACAGAGCUCCCCCAAACUAACACAUCCCAUGACCCAGACCUCCAGAAGAGUCCAAAACACUUUCUAAAAAAAAAAAAAAAAGUGGAGAAGGCUUUGUCCUCGGCUCUAUGGGUAAACCUCAGACAACCCCAUCUGGAAGACCAGAUCCUCAGCAGGUAAAAGCACCCUCCCCUUUGCCAUCCUUCGAAGGCAAUGAUUCUCAUUUUAGCACUGAAGUCCACAUAGCUGGCUUCUCAACUCUCUUCCUGAAGAUUCAAAGCUAAGUUAAGCCAAGUUUGUUUGUCAGACAGAACUAGGAGACAUGCAACGGAAAAAUCUGGUAGAAGAGGGAUUAAAAAGGAUAAAAAUCUCAGAAAAUAGGUGACAGUAAGGGGAUAUGAAUAAUAUAAAAGUAGAAAACAGAAAAGACCCUCUUUUGCAUCACCUGAGAAGGGGUUUCUGUUUUCCAGAGGAAGAAGCUAAAUUUCAAGAAGGGUAAGUUCUGUACCCAAAAUCACUCUGGGAAUGAGAAUUGAGUUAUGAUUUGAACACAUCAAAUAAGAUCUGGGGAGAAAAAAAUACUUAAAGGUGAUUAUCCAUGGAUUGUGGGAUUAUGGAUGAUUUCAAUUUUCUAUAUAUUUCUCUGUAUUUUCCAAAUUUUCUGUACUGAGCAGUUGUUACUUGUAUACUGACAAAAAAAGUAUAUCAGGUUUAAUAUUUGAAGUUACUAGAAGUUCAUAAUAUUUUAUGUUCAAGUUAUUAAAUACUAAUUAAAG